rnacentral:rRNA from 1 species
CCUACGGGUGGCAGCAGUGGGGGAUAUUGCACAAUGGGGGGAACCCUGAAGCAGCGACGCCGCGUGGGUGAAGAAGCGCCUCGGCGCGUAAAGCCCUGUCAGCAGGGAAGAAAAUGACGGUACCUGAAGAAGAAGCCCCGGCUAACUACGUGCCAGCAGCCGCGGUAAUACGUAGGGGGCAAGCGUUAUCCGGAUUUACUGGGUGUAAAGGGGGCGCAGACGGCGAUGCAAGCCAGAAGUGAAAGCCCGUGGCUCAACCCCGGGACUGCAGUGGGAACUGCGGGGCUUGAGUGCGGGGGGGGCAGGCGGAAUUCGUGGUGUAGCGGUGAAAUGCGUAGAUAUCAGGAGGAACACCGAUGGCGAAGGCGGCCUGCUGGACUGUUACUGACGUUGAGGCCCGAAAGCGUGGGGAGCAAACAGGAUUAGAUACCCCAGUAGUC